UAGGGAAUUUUGGGCAAUGGGCGAAAGCCUGACCCAGCAACGCCGCGUGUGGGAUGAAGGCCCUCGGGUCGUAAACCACUGUCAGGAGGAAAGAAAAGUCGGCCGGAUAAUACUCGGUCGACCUGACGGUACCUCCAAAGGAAGCACCGGCUAACUCCGUGCCAGCAGCCGCGGUAAUACGGAGGGUGCAAGCGUUGUUCGGAAUUACUGGGCGUAAAGCGCGUGUAGGUGGUCGAGUAAGUCGAAUGUGAAAGCCCCGGGCUCAACCCGGGAAGUGCAUCCGAAACUGCUCGACUAGAGUCCCGGAGAGGAAGGCAGAAUUCCCAAUGUAGGGGUGAAAUCCGUAGAUAUUGGGAGGAAUACCGGUGGCGAAGGCGGCCUUCUGGACGGUGACUGACACUCAGACGCGAAAGCGUGGGGAGCAAACAGGAUUAGAUACCCCAGUAGUCCCUGAGCGGGCUGGCAAGGCGCAU
rnacentral:rRNA from 1 species